ensembl:lncRNA
CACGCCCGCUAAUUUUUUGUACUUUUAGUAGAGACGGGGUUUCUGUGUUGACAGGAUGGUCUUGAUCUCCGCUCCUCCCAAAGUGCUGGAUUACAGGCUUGACCCUUUUUUUUUUUUUUUUUUUUGAGACAGAGUCUUGCUCUGUCGCCCAGGUUGGAGUGCCUUGGCGCAAUCUCGGCUCACUGCAAGCUCCGCCUCCGGGGUUCACGCCAUUCUCCUGCCUCAGCCUCCUGAGUAGCUGGGACUACAGGCGCCCGCCACCACACCCGACUAAUUUUUUUUGUAUUUUUAGUAGAGACGGAGUUUCACCGUGUUAGCCAGGAUCGUCUCGAUCUCCUGACCUCGUGAUCUGCCCGCCUGGGUCUCCCAAAGUGCUGGGAUUACAGGCGUGAGCCACCGCGCCCGGCCCCUAGUUAACUUUUUUUUUUUUUAAUUUCCUCCUUUUCCUUUUUUUCUCUUGAAGUUGAAGCCUUGGAGGUGCUUUUCAUUCAAUUACAGAAAGCACCACCCCAGCUUAAAAUGUAUUUAAUUUUAUUUACAGGAUUACAUAAUAUAUGGAAAAUGAAAUACAUGUUUUUCCCACGGGGUCCCAUUUUGACUCCCCCAAUACCCUCCAGUUCAUCCCGGAAUGCCGUAGAAAUCUAUACAUUUCCUGGAUGUCUCAGGAGGUGAAGAAAAAAAAGGCAGGGAGUGAGCCCAGCUGACUCUACAUCCAGAAACCUCUCUCGCCCCCAGGCAGGAUUCCAACAGUGCGGAAGCCCCCAGUCCCCAAGUCCGGGGUGGCAAGGACGUCCAGCCUCCCCGGGGAGCCACCUUGGCCCUCCCUCCCUCCUGCUGGCUGGGUGCCGCGCUGCGGGGCUGCUCAGAGAGAGAGUUUUAAACACCUGGGGAGGCAUGUGCAGAAGAGCGGUUUCCUCACCCAAGGAUGGGCACCACCCUGUGGCCUGGCACCCAUGGCACGGUUCUGAGGGCUUCCCCCUCUGCCCUGGCAGCGUGAUUCCAUCUGUCGUGAGGAGAGUCCAGCGGCGCUCUGCGUUGAAACAAAGCCAUGGAGCCCUGUUGCAGGAGCACCUGCAAACACUCAUCACCUCCUUAUUUCUCCGGCGGUCAUAAUCGGUGUGCCAUUGGCAGGUGUUUGUCUCAUUUAAUCCCCACUCUGUUUCUGCAACAUUCUCCCGUCAGCCAUAAUAACAGCAACAGCAGUUUAAAGGUACUGACUGUUGAUUAUGUUCCAGGCACCUUCCUUUUUUUAAUUUAAUUUUUUUGAGACGGAGCCUCACUCUGUCACCCAGGCUGGAGUGCAGCAGUGCGAUCUCUGCUCACUGCAACCUCCGCCUCCUGGGUUCAAGUGAUUCUCGUGCUUUAGCGUUCCGAGUAGCUGGAAUUACAGGCACUCGCCACCACAUCUCGCACAUCCAGCUAAUUUUUGUAUUUUUAGUAGAGAUGGGGUUUCCCCAUGUUGCCCAGGCUGGUCCUGAACUCCUGACCUCAGGUGAUCCACCUGCUUCGGCCUCCCAAAGUGCUGGAAUUACAGGCAUGAGCCACCGCACCCAGUCUCCAGGCACCUUUCUAAGGGCUUUAUUUUUAUUUAUUUACCUUUUUUUUUUAGACAGAGUCUCACUCUGUCACCCAGGCUGGAGUGCAGUGGCAUGAUCAUGGCUCACUGCAGCCUCAACAUCCUGGGCUCAAGCGAUCCUCCCACCUUAGCCUACUGAGUAGCUGGGAGUACAGGUGGCAUGUGCCACCAC